rfam:Dipodomys ordii contig_10681, whole genome shotgun sequence.
GGGAAGGUAGUUCAGCGGUAGAGUGUAUGCCUUGCAAGCAUGAGGCCCUGGGUUCGAUUCCUCAGCACCA